rnacentral:rRNA from 1 species
AGUCUGGUGCCAGCAGCCGCGGUAAUUCCAGCUCCAAUAGCGUAUAUUAAAGUUGUUGCAGUUAAAAAGCUCGUAGUUGAAAUUUUGAUUGUAGAGGUCAGUCUCACAACAGUGAGUGCUAGAUGUGCUGUGGUCAUGUUUCGUUGGAACGUGUGUGGCAUUGAGUUGUCGUGCAUGGGAAGACGAUCGUUUACUGUGAAAAAAUUAGAGUGUUCAAAGCAGGCUUAUGCCGUUGAAUAUAUUAGCAUGGAAUAAUAAGAUAGGACCAGGGUACUAUUUUGUUGGUUUGUGCACCUUGGUAAUGAUUAAUAGGGACAGUUGGGGAUAUUCGUAUUGCGGUGUCAGAGGUGAAAUUCUUGGAUUUCCGCAAGACGAGCUACUGCGAAAGCGUUUAUCAAGGAUGUUUUCAUUAAUCAAGAACGAAAGUUAGGGGAUCGAAGAUGAUUAGAUACCAUCGUAGUCUUAACCAUAAACUAUGCCGACAAGGGAUUGGCAGGGUGUGUUUAUGCCUCUGUCAGCACCUUAGGAGAAAUCAUAAGUUUUUGGGUUCCGGGGGGAGUAUGGUCGCAAGGCUCAAACUUAAAGACAUUGACGGAAGGGCACCACCAGGAGUGGAGCCUGCGGCUUAAUUUGACCCAACACGGGAAAACUUACCAGGUCCAGACAUAGUGAGGAUUGACAGAUUGAGAGCUCUUUCUUGAUUCUAUGGGUGGUGGUGCAUGGCCGUUCUUAGUUGGUGGAGUGAUUUGUCUGGUUAAUUCCGUUAACGAACGAGACCCCCGCCUGCUUAAUAGAUGGUCUAGUGAUUUUUCACUGGAAACAUCUUCUUAGAGGGACGUGCGUUCUAUUAGACGCAGGAAGAUGGGGGCAAUAACAGGUCUGUGAUGCCCUUAGAUGUCCUGGGCCGCACGCGCGCUACACUGAUGCAUUCAACGAGUUGCCUUCACCGAGAGGUGUGGGAAAUCUUGGAAUGUGCAUCGUGAUAGGGAUAGAUUCUUGUAAUUUUUAAUCUUGAACGAGGAAUUCCUAGUAAACGCAGAUCAUCAAUCUGCAUUGAUUACGUCCCUGCCCUUUGUACACACCGCCCGUCGCACCUACCGAUUGAAUGGUCCGGUGAAGCCUCGGGAUUAUGAUGACUUUUCUUCAUUGAGAGGUCGUUGCGAGAACUUGUCUAACCUUAUCAUUUAGAGGAAGGUGAAGUCGU